rnacentral:lncRNA from 1 species
CGUACCCACUGAGAAAACCAUGGUUGCGGUUUCUCACCCCCCUUUUCCCCCCCAGGUGACAGAGACGAGGAGUUGGAUUUUGGGCUCGACGAGAGGACGAUCUAGUUAGACGGCAGUAGCGACCGUCACCCUGGUUAUUUCUUUCCCGCACUUAGUAGUUUUCUUAAUAAUGGUUCAGUUAGCUGAUCUUAUGUAUGCUUGAAUGUAUGUGAACUGUGGUGUUGGUUUCUUUUAUACAUGAGAUUGGAGUUUUCGAUCUGUGGUUUUGGUUCUGUGGAGAUUUGGUUUUCUUGUAGUUAUGCAUCGUGGUUUUCUACCCCUCGAGGUAGUUGGUUUUCAAAAUAGAGUUUCCGUGUGGGAAACAGUUUUAAAAAGGUUUUCGAAUGGUUUUUAUGAAUGAAUGAAUUAGAGUUUAAAAACAAAAGCUUCCGUGUGGGGAGCACUUUUAAAUAGGAUGUUUGUUGUAUUGUGCAUUG